rnacentral:tRNA from 1 species
GGAGGACUUAGCUUAAUUAAAGUGCCUGGUUUGCAACCGGGUGUUGUAAAUUAGAGUUUUACAGGCCUU